rnacentral:lncRNA from 1 species
GUACAGAUGGACUGUACAUACAUCCUAUAAUUGGUUUCCAUUCUCUAACUUUAGUAUGCUUUUAAGAAACUUAUACACAAUGCUUAUUACCAAAAAACACAGAUCAAGUUUGAAUGGGGUAGCGUCACAGUUACCAAACUUAAAUUAUGCAUUUUUACAAACAGAAAAAUUACUGAAUUUUCGUUUCCAUUCUCUAACUUUAGUAUGCUUUUAAGAAACUUAUACACAAUGCUUAUUACCAAAAAACACAGAUCAAGUUUGAAUGGGGUAGCGUCACAGUUACCAAACUUAAAUUAUGCAUUUUUACAAACAGAAAAAUUACUGAAUUUUCG